CUUCUUCUUCCUUAAACCCUAAUCCUUCAAAAUCUCCAAAUUCUACUACAAUGUCUUCUGACAAGCAACAAAAACAGUCAAAGAACAUCAAAGGUGUUGGAUCUUCAAAGAGUUCCAUUUCCCAGAACAUUCCAACCAGCACAGCCAUCACUGUUGGGGACCGAGAAUACAUUACUGCUCCAAAACUCUUGAAAGAACAGAAAGCAAUCUUCGCUUCUCAGGUAAUGGUUCCUUCUCUUCUUUCUGGAAAUGCUUUAGGGUUUCUAGGCCCACUAGUAUCUGACGAACAUUUAGAAAAGUGUGCUCAAUUUUUUCCUUGUUACCAUACUACUAAACCCAUAGCCAAUAAAAC
rnacentral:lncRNA from 1 species